rnacentral:rRNA from 1 species
GAGAGUUUGAUCCUGGCUCAGGACGAACGUUGGCGACGUGCCUAACACAUGCAAGUCGAGCGAAGAACUUACUAUGAAAUCUUCGGAUAGAUUAGUAAACUUCUUAGCGGCGGAUGGGUGAGUAACGCGUGAGGAACCUGCCUUUUACAAGGGGAUAGCCUCGGGAAACCGGGAUUAAUACCCUAUGAAACUUAAAAUUCACAUGAAUAUUAAGUUAAAGCAUUUAGCGGUAUUAGAUGGUCUCGCGUCCCAUUAGCUAGUUGGUAAGGUAAUGGCUUACCAAGGCAACGAUGGGUAGCCGGCUUGAGACGAGUGAACGGACGGCCACACUGGAACUGAGAUACGGUCCAGAUUCCUACGGGAGGCAGCAGUGGGGAAUAUUGCACAAUGGAGGAAACUCUGAUGCAGCGACGUCGCGUGAACGAUGAAGGCUUUCGAGUCGUUAAAGCUCUGUCCUAUGGGACGAUUAUGACGGUACCAUAGGAGAAGCCC